UACGUAGGGUGCAAGCGUUGUCCGGAAUUACUGGGCGUAAAGAGCUCGUAGGCGGUUUGUCGCGUCUGCCGUGAAAGUCCGGGGCUCAACUCCGGAUCUGCGGUGGGUACGGGCAGACUAGAGUGAUGUAGGGGAGACUGGAAUUCCUGGUGUAGCGGUGAAAUGCGCAGAUAUCAGGAGGAACACCGGUGGCGAAGGCGGGUCUCGUGGGCCGAUACUGACGCUGAGGAGCGAAAGCGUGGGGAGCGAACAGG
rnacentral:rRNA from 1 species